GACAGAGGGUGCAAACGUUUGUUCGGAAUUACUGGGCGUAAAGCGCGUGUAGGCGGCUCGGAAAGUCGGAUGUGAAAGCCCAGGGCUCAACCCUGGAAGUGCACUCGAAACUCCCGAGCUGGAGUCCCCGGAGAGGAAGGCGGAAUUCUCGGUGUAGAGGUGAAAUUCGUUAGAUAUCGAGAGGAACACCUGUGGCGAAGGCGGCCUUCUGGACGGUGACUGAGCUGAGACGCGAAAGCGUGGGGAGAAACAGGAUUAGAAAACCCCCGGU
rnacentral:rRNA from 1 species